rnacentral:rRNA from 1 species
UACGAAGGGGGCUAGCGUUGUUCGGAAUCACUGGGCGUAAAGCGCACGUAGGCGGAUCUUUAAGUCAGAGGUGAAAUCCCAAGGCUCAACCUUGGAACUGCCUUUGAUACUGGGGAUCUUGAGUCCGGGAGAGGUGAGUGGAACUGCGAGUGUAGAGGUGAAAUUCGUAGAUAUUCGCAAGAACACCAGUGGCGAAGGCGGCUCACUGGCCCGAUACUGACGCUGAGGCACGGAAAGCGUGGGGAAUCAAACAGG